CUAAACCAAACACCAAUAGAAACCAAACCAAACACAAAAUCAAUCAAACAAAACCUGCUCAACAGUGUAAUGCAUAGGACAUUAGACUUUAAAGACAUCCUCUUUACAGUAUCAUUGUGGGAUCCACUUAGAUCCAACACAACUCAAACACCAGGUCAAUGCAGAUAACAAAAAAAAAUAUUGUAAUUAAGCCACAACUGAUGGAUCAGGGCCACAGAACAGACUCGAAAGCUGAACUGUAACUCCACACCAGUAUAUUGCAUAAUAAGUCUGAAAACCACAAACAUCUGUGCCAAGUUAUAGUUACAUUUUUCCACCAAUCGAUUUAGGAAUAAGGGCUUCCCUUAUGUGGUUGAUCUAUGACCACAUAAGGAAACUGAUACAGAACGUAGGUUUUACAGUCCAACCAAUCAAAUCUAUUUGUUGUUUUGUAGUUAGCAAUAGCCAUUAUGUUCUGGAAUAGAAGAUGAAUAACGAAGACUGUCCAGCUACUGGGGAGUCCCCAGUUCCUCUAGGGUCUGGGACCUUGAACUUAGUUUCUUUCUAUGAUUAAAUAGAGUCUAAAAACAAAAUGGCAGAACUUAGGACAAGAUUCUUUGCUUGUCCCCAACAGCUUAAGCCCACAUCUUGACUUCUCUAGGGACUUUCCUGGGCUCCCUUUUUGUUCCUGUUGUGCUAUUAGAAGUUAGGUCACCCCUGUGCUUAUGUCCCCACCAGGCAUCGUUCUGACCGUACUUUAAGCAGUCCAUUGCUAAUCAAUUAUGUAUAGUCCAGCUUAGUCUUAGAAAGGGGAGUCAAGCAGAUUUCUCCCCAUGGGAACGUGAACUGUGGCUUACAGAGAACAAGCUGGUUAACAUGCAGAGCUGGAAGCUGAAAAGAUAAUCCAGAAAAGGAAGCCAUGAAGUCUACGGAAGAUGAGCUCCUGAGACAGGAGCCCUGGGAAGACAGAGGGAAGGAAUACUAACUUACCAAGCACUCAGCUCCUGAUGGCAUGCCAGCCAGCCAGCUCUUGGAUGAGUACCGUGACCCAAGAGAGCUCUCAUGAAGUCAGGCCUGGUAGCUCAGGCCCAUAAUCCCAGUUAUCUGGAAGCCUGAGGCAGGAGACUUCCAAGUUCAAGGCCAGCUAGGACCUAAUCGUGAGAGCUUAUCUCAGAAUCAAAAUUAAAAUAAGUCAGGGCUACAGCACAGUGGUAGAGUACUUUCUAACCACCUAUGAGAAGCUAGGUUUGAUGCUCAGGACUAGGAGUAGGGAUGAAAGGUGAAAGGGUGAGCCCAAGUGUUACCACUUCCAUCUGCUGUGAUAUUCCAGAGAACUGGGCCUAGGAUUGAUGUGAGCUCUGAAUAGUGAACAACCAACAUUCUUGAAAAUAACAGAAUGGGCUGGCAAGAUGGUUCAGCAGAUGGAGAUCCUUGCAGCCAGGCCCCCUGACAACCUGAGUUUGUUCCCUGGGGCCUAUACAGCAUAAGUAAGGAGAGUGCCAACUCUAUACACUAGCCAUGGUACAACAUGGCUCACCCCUCCCAACACAUAAACAAAUAAAUAAAUGCAAUAAACAUUUGAAAGUACUAGAGGGAUGCGUAUAAGAAUUGUCCAGGAGACUCACUCUAAAGAACUUAGCAUGGCUGCACCUGGGGCUGAGGCAGGAGGAUGGGGAGUUCAAGGUCACCCUGGGCUACCAGAGACCCAGGCACAGGGAAGAUAUUUAGGGAUGUUACUAUGUCGUGGAUGGUCACAAUCGAAGGAGUCCUCAUCUUUCUCCUCUUUUACUGCUAAGGGAAGAUGAUAGAAGAAAAACAAUUUUAAACUUUUUGAAGUAUUUUGGGGAGGAUGUUGAAUAGACAGACUACAUCCUGGGCUCUUUGUCGAUGCUCCUUUGUGCGGAUUUAAACUGAACCACAGGAAAGCUGAGAAGGAUCCUGGCUCAAAGUCUAGACAUGCGUUCCCUGGACCUCUGUGCUUUCUCUUUCUUUGAAGGCCUCUCCCUUCCACCGUGAGGGUGCUUGCUGACCGCGGCUGCUUACAGCGGGCUGCAAACGGUGGGGCUUUUUCUUUUCCUGUUCUCCAUCCUCUUCCUGGCAUUUACCAAGAUUUACAGCUUGCCCACCCUGUUGACUUUCUCUCAGAUGCUAAUAAAAUCGUUCUUAAGCUUC